UACGUAGGGUCCGAGCGUUGUCCGGAAUUAUUGGGCGUAAAGGGCGCGUAGGCGGCUUACCAAGUCAGGCGUGAAAUUCCCGGGCUCAACCUGGGGGCUGCGCUUGAUACUGGUGAGCUUGAAUGCGGGAGAGGAUAGUGGAAUUCCCAGUGUAGAGGUGAAAUUCGUAGAUAUUGGGAAGAACACCGGUGGCGAAGGCGGCUAUCUGGCCCGUAAUUGACGCUGAGGCGCGAAAGCGUGGGGAGCAAACAGGG
rnacentral:rRNA from 1 species